CUGGGACUGGGAGUCAAAGAGGAUUCUGGGAAAUGUAGUAGAGAAGUGGUGAUCCAGGCAGGAAGUGACAUAGCAAGGAGACUCAUAUUUAAGCAAGGACAAACAGGAAGUGGUCCCUUUUCCCCUACGCUCUUCCUCCAUUGGCACAAUGUGACCCACCGGCAAGGAGGGACACCAAUGGAAGGUGUCUGAUAAGUUCACUCUUUCCGACUUGGCCCAGAAGCAUCAGCUCUAUCACUGCUUGGGAGAUUUACAGCGCUUCCUCCAUCCUCGGGCCUGCUAAUAGGCAGUGGCUGAACUCCCCGGAGUCCCAGCUAGGAAAUCUGAGCAGUAUGUAAUUGCUACAGCUGGAAUCGCAUUCCACUUCAGAAGCUUCUCAACAGCAUUCUCAGACGUGUGGAUACCCAUUAGUGACCCAGGGGGAUUACUCCCUGGCACGGCAUGCACCUUUAUGAGGGGCCUGGAUGAUGAGAGUGUCCCUCCCAACAGCAGAAAGGGAGUCAAGGCCCAGGGAUUGGAGAUUUGGGAGAUAAGUGAAGUGGCCCAGAGAUGCCUUGGAUGGAAUUACAAUCUGAUAA
rnacentral:lncRNA from 1 species